UCCCCUUCACUUUUUCUUCACUUUUUCCAUGGCUAGUGACGAGGUUCCCAUUCCAGAGCCUGCCAUAGGUGUUGGUGCUGCCCUUGGUGCAGACAUAGAGGCGGAGGAAGCCGUUGCAUUGCUCCCCCUUGCCGAGAGGCCUUUUGAUGCAGUCAUAUACCAGCCGCGUACGCAUGUGCCACCUCCUAGCGGCAUCUUGAGAUUCGAGGGCUUCAUUCCCGAGUUGGAUGAGGAUACUCUACUGCGAGAGCCCAUGGAGCUUAUCUCUGCUGACGCUUCCACGGUGAUCGCCAGGAGGAUAGGCGGCUACGGCUCUAUCUCUGGCCCCCGACAUUGGUAUGAGCGACUUCCCGCAGAGGUCCGCACUUCGGUAGAUGCUGCUGGCUUUGGGCCCUUUUGCUCCGGGUUUAUCCAGACGAGGGUCGAGUCUUGGCUUUAUGGGGCCUUGGUAGAGAGAUGGUGGGACACCACCAGCUCAUUUCACUUCUCUUUUACCGGAGAUAUGACACUGACCCCAUAUGACUUCUUGAUAUUGAUCGGUUUGCGGGUUGGGGUUGGCGGCCCAGUCCCUUUCGAUCCAGAUAUGACUCAGUGGAGAGAUGCAUAGCUCCAACUUCUUGGGGCGAUCCCAGACACUACCAGCCACAGGAUGGUGCGCUACAGCUGGUUCUUGGAGCACUUCUCCGGCACACAGCCAGCCACUGCAGACGAGGUUGCCCAGUACACCCGUGGUUCCUCAUAUAUCUCCUCAGCACUACCCUGUUUGCAAACAGGGAAAAUACCAUGAGAUUAUACAUUCUAGGAGCAUUGGUGCAUCUUCCUCGGGUAGCGGAUUACGACUGGGGUGGCGUAGGUCUGGCCACCUUAUACUGUUACACGUGCUUCGUUUCCCACCGUAAGAUGGAUUCACUCGGCGGCUACUGGAGGGUUUGGGAGCUUUGGGUCUACACAUAUUUCACUCUGUUGGCCCCAGUUCCAGUGAGGCCGGUUGAGUUGUCUGUACCCCGCUCUCAGUAUUACAACUCACGGUUCGAGCGACGUCACCUUGUAGAUCGCACCUUCCCAUAUUUCCGCCGUUUCUUUGACACUAUCACAGCUGAUCAGGCAUUCCCUAAGUGUCGAGGGUGACCUACACCGCUGCCUGGCAUGCUUCCACGAUGAGGAUCUGUUCGAGGGCCUUUUUGGCUGGGCAUACUACCUGGGAGAUUGAUUCAUCCGCUAGACUCGGGGCGUUGCUGACCCUGAUAUUUCGCAUCCUCCUUCUGCCGGCAUGAGGGUGGUAGAUGAUUUAUAGGAUGGUCCUGAGCUGGACCACUUGAUGAUAGGUGAAGACGGCGAUCGUCACCAUGAGCCCGGCGACUUCACUACUUUCUUACACACUCGGGUGAUGGCACCUCUUACUCCAGGCGUGGCUCGAGCUGUACCAGAGGUUGUUGUUGCUCUUGCUGCCGGGGCUAGCGAUAUGCUUAUUGGAGGUGCCUCUGCCGUUGCUCCUAUUCCUGGAUUGCUUUUGUUUCCCACCGAGAUUAUGUACAUGCGUCCAGAUGGAGUGAUUAAUCAGAUUCCACUUGAGCCCGUCGAGGAGAGGGACGGCAAACUUGUGUUUGCCCUUGGUGUUGAGCAAAUUCCCCGGGCAUAUGGUGACGAGCUCCUUCGGACGAUUGACCGACUACUCAUCAUGUUACGGAGGAGACAAACUGUUUUAGUCACCCACGGGAUUGA